GAGAGAUCUUCCAUUAACGCGGCUUGUGAAGGAAGACGAAGGAGGAGUCUAUGUAAGGCGUCGAGAGGAAGUUUUGUCGAUCUCCUUUGAGGCAGUGUCUUGUAUAAGAGGAUGGUGAGAACGCCGUGCUGUGAGAAGGAAGGACUGAGAAGAGGCCGUUGGACGGCGGAGGAAGACGAGAAACUCAAGAAGUACAUAGAAGUGUACGGCGAAGGUUCAUGGAGAUCGUUGCCGAAGAAUGCUGGGCUGUUGAGGUGCGGAAAGAGUUGUAGGUUAAGAUGGAUUAAUUACUUGAGAACAGAUUUGAAGAGAGGGAAUAUCACUCCUCAAGAAGACGAAACUAUUCUCAAAUUGCAUACAACUCUCGGAAAUCGGUGGUCACUGAUCGCUGGGCAUCUACCCGGACGAACCGAUAACGAAAUAAAAAACUACUGGAAUUCUCAUUUGAGUAAGAAAAUCUACAGCACCGCCAAAAAGGAUGCUCCCCAAAAAUCUGGUAUUUCAAAGCGAGCCAGAAGCCAUGGCCGACCAAACAACAAACUUAUACUCAAGAAGGAUAAGACGACAAUACCAAAAGAAAGUUCCGAAUCUAAUUCCAUAGCUGAAGAAGAACCUGAAACCACCAACCCUAAAGAAGAACAGGCUACCAGUUCAGGAAAGGAACAAAGUACGAGUGACCAAAAUUCAACAACGAAGGAUCCAAAAAUAGAGGAAGAAAAUUGGGAAUUGACGACUGAUGGUGAGAAACGAGAAUACGGGGUGUUAAGUACGAUUAUAGAUAGUGGGGAAUGGUUUUACUCAGCUUGGCCUUCUUCUUCAUCGAUGAAUUCCAACUUUAAUAAUGAAUGGAUGAAUUGGGACUGGGAAGGUGAUGGGGUUUUAGGUCAGAAUGUAUGUGAGAAUUUCAAAGAGCCAUCGUCUUGGUUUUGGGCUAAUAG
rnacentral:misc_RNA from 1 species